GGGCCUCUAGCUCAGCGGUAGAGCUACGGACUUUUAAUCCGCAGGUCGCGGGUUCGAUCCCCGCGGGGCCCA
rnacentral:tRNA from 1 species